GACGAACGCUGGCGGCGUGCCUAAUACAUGCAAGUUGAGCGCUGAAGGUUGGUACUUGUACCAACUGGAUGAGCAGCGAACGGGUGAGUAACGCGUGGGGAAUCUGCCUUUGAGCGGGGGACAACAUUUGGAAACGAAUGCUAAUACCGCAUAAAAACUUUAAACACAAGUUUUAAGUUUGAAAGAUGCAAUUGCAUCACUCAAAGAUGAUCCCGCGUUGUAUUAGCUAGUUGGUGAGGUAAAGGCUCACCAAGGCGAUGAUACAUAGCCGACCUGAGAGGGUGAUCGGCCACAUUGGGACUGAGACACGGCCCAAACUCCUACGGGAGGCAGCAGUAGGGAAUCUUCGGCAAUGGACGAAAGUCUGACCGAGCAACGCCGCGUGUGUGAAGAAGGUUGUCGGAUCGUAAAACUCUGUUGGUAGAGAAGAACGUUGGUGAGAGUGGAAAGCUCAUCAAGUGACGGUAACUACCCAGAAAGGGACGGCUAACUACGUG
rnacentral:rRNA from 1 species